rnacentral:rRNA from 1 species
AGGACGAACGCUGGCGGCGCGCUUAACACAUGCAAGUCGAACGUGAAGCCGGAGCUUGCUCCGGUGGAAAGUGGCGAACGGGUGCGUAACACGUGAGCAACCUGCCCCGAAGACUGGGAUAACACCGGGAAACCGGUGCUAAUACCGGAUACCUUCUUCCGAUCGCAUGGUUGGACGAAGAAAUGGAUUCCGCUUCGGGAUGGGCUCGCGGCCUAUCAGCUUGUUGGUGAGGUAACGGCCCACCAAGGCGACGACGGGUAGCUGGUCUGAGAGGACGACCAGCCACACUGGGACUGAGACACGGCCCAGACUCCUACGGGAGGCAGCAGUGGGGAAUCUUGCUCAAUGGGCGAAAGCCUGAAGCAGCGACGCCGCGUGCGGGAUGAAGGCCUUCGGGUUGUAAACCGCUUUCAGCAGGGACGAAAUUGACGGUACCCGCAGAAGAAGGCCCGGCCAACUACGCGCCAGCAGCCGC